AGUGAAUAUUUUCAAUCAAGCAUUGAAGUGUUCUCUCCUUUAUAAGAGGUGCAUGAGUGAAGGAAGUAUGACAUUCAGCAGUUAAAGACAGUGAUCAGAACACCUUUUUCUGGUAAGGAUCCAGACUACAAUCCUUAUUGACGUAAGACACUUCUGACCAAAGAAUUUGCUUCACUGGAGAGCUAAUCUUCAUAUCACCUGCCACACUGUACCUUUUGACCAUUAUGCAGGCUAUCUUGGGGCUCUUCCUCAUCUCUGCUUUUCUAACAGCAGGUACUGCUUUAGAAUGCGAAGCUUGUGUUGGUGUUGGCAUGACUUGUACUGGCAAGAACGUUUCAUGUCAAGCUGGUUAUG